UACGGAGGGUGCAAGCGUUAUCCGGAUUCACUGGGUUUAAAGGGUGCGUAGGCGGAUAUGUAAGUCCGUGGUGAAAUCUCUGGGCUUAACCCGGAAACUGCCAUGGAUACUAUGUGUCUUGAAUGUUGUUGAGGUGAGCGGAAUAUGUCAUGUAGCGGUGAAAUGCUCAGAUAUGACAUAGAACACCAAUUGCGAAGGCAGCUCACUAAGCAAAUAUUGACGCUGAGGCACGAAAGCGUGGGGAUCAAACAGG
rnacentral:rRNA from 1 species